AUUGUGAUCAAAUACAUCUGGUGGACAAAUUUUGAACUUUUAUCAUUGUGAUGUAUUUUUGCUGCUUGAUCAUGAAGAAUGGAUGGUGUGUGUGUGUGGAUUAUGGUCCGUAUUCUUUGUGUUUUCUUAGGAUUAUUUAGCUCAAAUCUUAUGAGUUGGAGGAAGAUCAAUGCCACAUAUUCUGUAAACUGGAAUACCUCCAAUGGCUUCAAGUAGUAUUUGUAACCACAGCUGACUGUUACAGUUUUGUGAUACAUCCAUUUGACACUGCAAAGUGUUCCUCUUCUUUAUGAUGCCAAUGAUCAACAUCAUCACUUCGGCAUCCAAUUUGGCUCAUCUCCAGUUAGCCAGCCAUCGGUUAAUUUCAUCACCCCAUUUUGGAUAGGAAAAUGUUCAUCUAUGUAUUGCUGUGAAAUUGCCGUUCCUAACUUUAUCCAGUCUUUACCAUCCAUAGACUUAAUAUUAUUUUAAACUCUUCAUCCCUGCACUUUCCGUCUUCGUCUGUGUCUUCGGUUCAUCGUUGCUUCGCCAGGUCUUCGCAUCGUUUCCGUUUCGUCGCCACUUUCUCCAUUUUCUCAUCGCUGUUUCUUGGUCUUCGCCAUUGUCUCAUCGCCGUCUUUGUCUUCGCCAUCGUCUCAUUGCCGUUUUUAUAUUCGUCGUAUCUUCGUCCUUCGCAACGAUGGAACAAUCAGAUCCAGAAAAAAAUUCAUGGUGAUCAAGCGUGACCUCACCGUGGAACUUCUCGGGUAUCGUUUUGUUUUGUAUUUUUGUAUUGUAUAGUUAACCCGUUGGCUGCCACCCCGUUUGCUCCCAUUUUUUUUUUAGCCGUAGGGACCGAGCGCACUGCUUUGCCCCAUGGCCAUGGGGUAGGGCAGUGCUCCGCCGCAAGGCGGUUAGGCAAUGCACCAGUAGGGAAUUCUCUUUGUUCGAUGCGGUGAUGGUUUCCUGAGGGUGUGCAUUCCCUGUAAAGGUUUCCAUCGCCGUGUCACCCCGGACUUGUCUUUGGACAAGUCCUCCUUGGUCGGCGAUCCUUAAGACGCAAGACGUAGCAACUGUAGUUUAAGCAACCUACGGGUUGCAUGGCCUGGCAGCCAACGGGUUAACUAGUUUAUUGUAUGUGUAUGUAUGUAUGUAUUUAUAUUUGUAAUUAUAUAUGUAUUGUGUUGUAUGUAAAAUAGUGGUGGAAUUGUGGGUGGAGGAGGGACAAUAAAACAAUUCUUUCGUCAAA